rnacentral:rRNA from 1 species
CCGAGCAACGCCGCGUGAGUGAAGAAGGUUUUCGGAUCGUAAAACUCUGUUGUUCGAGAAGAACAAGGACGUUAGUAACUGAACGUCCCCUGACGGUAUCUAACCAGAAAGCCACGGCUAACUACGUGCCAGCAGCCGCGGUAAUACGUAGGUGGCAAGCGUUGUCCGGAUUUAUUGGGCGUAAAGCGAGCGCAGGCGGUUUCUUAAGUCUGAUAUGAAAGCCCCCGGCUCAACCGGGGAGGGUCAUUGGAAACUGGGAGACUUGAGUGCAGAAGAGGAGAGUGGAAUUCCAUGUGUAGCGGUGAAAUGCGUAGAUAUAUGGAGGAACACCAGUGGCGAAGGCGGCUCUCUGGUCUGUAACUGACGCUGAGGCUCGAAAGCGUGGGGAGCAAACAGGAUUAGAUACCCCUGGUAGUCCAACGCCCGUAGAACGUAUGAGUGCUAAGUGUUGGAGGGUUUCCGCCCUUCAGUGCUGCAGCAAACGCAGUAAGCACUCCGCCUGGG